GACGAACCGUGCGAACGUUAUUCGGAAUCACUGGGCUUAAAGCGCGUGUAGGCGGGGUGGCACGUCGGUCGCUGAAAGCCCCCGGCUCAACCGGGGAAGGGGCGCCGAUACGACCACCCUGGAGGGACGUAGGGGGACCUGGAACUUCCGGUGGAGCGGUGAAAUGCGUUGAGAUCGGAAGGAACGCCCGUGGCGAAAGCGAGGUCCUGGACGUUUGCUGACGCUGAGACGCGAAAGCCAGGGGAGCGAACGGG
rnacentral:rRNA from 1 species